rnacentral:tRNA from 2 species
GUGGUCUUAGUUUAUAAAAACGUUUGCUUUGCGAGCAAAAGAUCCAAUAAAUUUUUGGAGACCACA